rnacentral:rRNA from 1 species
UAAGGCUGAUGGCGACCGGCGCACGGGUGAGUAACACGUAUCCAACCUGCCGUCUACUCUUGGCCAGCCUUCUGAAAGGAAGAUUAAUCCAGGAUGGCAUCAUGAGUUCACAUGUCCGCAUGAUUAAAGGUAUUUUCCGGUAGACGAUGGGGAUGCGUUCCAUUAGAUAGUAGGCGGGGUAACGGCCCACCUAGUCAACGAUGGAUAGGGGUUCUGAGAGGAAGGUCCCCCACAUUGGAACUGAGACACGGUCCAAACUCCUACGGGAGGCAGCAGUGAGGAAUAUUGGUCAAUGGGCGAUGGCCUGAACCAGCCAAGUAGCGUGAAGGAUGACUGCCCUAUGGGUUGUAAACUUCUUUUAUAAAGGAAUAAAGUCGGGUAUGCAUACCCGUUUGCAUGUACUUUAUGAAUAAGGAUCGGCUAACUCCGUGCCAGCAGCCGCGGUAAUACGGAGGAUCCGAGCGUUAUCCGGAUUUAUUGGGUUUAAAGGGAGCGUAGAUGGAUGUUUAAGUCAGUUGUGAAAGUUUGCGGCUCAACCGUAAAAUUGCAGUUGAUACUGGAUGUCUUGAGUGCAGUUGAGGCAGGCGGAAUUCGUGGUGUAGCGGUGAAAUGCUUAGAUAUCACGAAGAACUCCGAUUGCGAAGGCAGCCUGCUAAGCUGCAACUGACAUUGAGG